CCUACGGGAGACAGCAGUGAGGAAUAUUGGUCAAUGGGCGGAAGCCUGAACCAGCCAAGUAGCGUGCAGGAUGACGGUCCUACGGGUUGUAAACUGCUUUUAUACGGGAAUAACGCGCCUUACGUGUAGGUCUUUGCAUGUACCUUAUGAAUAAGGACCGGCUAAUUCCGUGCCAGCAGCCGCGGUAAUACGGAAGGUCCGGGCGUUAUCCGGAUUUAUUGGGUUUAAAGGGAGCGUAGGCGGGUUGUCAAGCGUGCUGUGAAAUGUCCGGGCUCAACCCGGGCCUUGCAGCGCGAACUGGCGGGCUUGAGUCCGCGGAAAGCAGGCGGAAUUCGUCGUGUAGCGGUGAAAUGCUUAGAUAUGGCGAAGAACCCCGAUUGCGAAGGCAGCUUGCUGCAGCGGAACUGACGCUGAUGCUCGAAAGCGCGGGUAUCGAACAGGAUUAGAUACCCUGGUAGUC
rnacentral:rRNA from 1 species